AAAGAUAAGAAGCUGAUAAGAAGUCACUUCACUCCGUCUGAUGGAAGCUGAAGUGAAGCACGGAGCUCCUUUUCUACACGGACCUGCUGAGGACAGAAGAGAGCUGCUCACUGAGGAAGUUCAUGUCUACGAGCUCAGUAAGUGUGAAGGUGUGGACUCUGCUAUGAAUCAGGCUGAGGACCCAGAGGACGGAGUCCCUCCCUCUGAAGCCCCUCUGUGUGGGGAACAUGACAGCCAGACCAAAGCUCAGAGGACCCAUCAGAGACCAGGACCUGGACCUGGACCCAGCUGUGUGUCCAUGAAGAGUAACCGGUCUAUGGAUCCUCCUCUAAACUUCAAAGAUGUUGGUCCCUCUGUUGAUGCAAGUUCACAUCAGCAGAGAGGAAAGUCUCCUGAACCCAGAUGUUUGUCCCAUGAAGAGUCAUCCGGUCUAAUAA
ensembl:lncRNA